ensembl:lncRNA
CUCUGGAAAGACAACAGAGAGUAGAAAGGCAGUUUUCCAUUUACAGCAGCGCGUCCCCUGAACGAUAAUGAAGAGGAGGCUUAUGGAAACCCCCCAGUGCAGGAGCAGCCAUUGACAAACCCUCUGAACAACCACAAGCGUUGCAUCUCCCGCUCAAUUUAUGGGACCAUUGAGGGCCUGGACAACCAGCCCUUCACGCUGCCACGAAACGCCAUGAUGGAAACUACACACACAGUAUUGAACAUAACUUGCCAACAUCAUAACUGGAACUGAACAUCUUUUGUGCUGAAGAUUGAGGACAGCGUUGUAUGCUAGCAACAUACUGUUUGAAGAGGGAGUAGGGAGGAUGAGGGAGUGGAUACCAUGAUGAGAGAGUGGGGAGGUGGGUGAGAUAUUGUCAAUAUAAUUGCAUAAUGGAACUGUAUUUGAUUUGUAUGCCAUUGAGGACAACAGUGUCGAUGAGAUGGAAAAAUAUAUUCUUAUACCACCUGGUUGUUCUCCGAGUAACUCCAAGGCAUAGUGAUAGGUCUCCUCGACUAUGUCUCCCACCGGCUCCUCUGUCAGAAACAGCUUGAACCACUCUGUCUCAGAGUGAGAUGGCAAGGGGCUUUGCACUCCAGACUGGAACUCAUCAAAGCCAACAGCAGGGCCAAGAGGGCAGAAAUGGCUGGAGGCCUUCCAGCUACCGCAGAUCUAUGUACUUCACCCACUGUUGGUCUGCCUCCAUUGCCACCAGCAUCUUCAGAGGGACCUGGGACUUCAUUGGUGGGCAAUGGGUCCUCAGAUUCAGGGUUCUCAAUGGCCACAAGGUUGGGGAACAGCUCAUCAACUGUCACUGUCAGAAUCUUAUUUCUCACUGUCAUACUCAGAAUUGUCAGAAUUUACAAAAAUCUUCAGAAUUUCCAUAUUUGUGAGUUGUCUCCUUUUGAAAUACAUUGCUAAUGCUACAGCUUAUCCCACUAGCAACACACAUCAACAAAAAGAAUGAAUGGCUCCAAGUGAGUGUCAGGGGUGAUGUGAUUGACUGCCGGUCUGGUGAUACUGAUGAUUUGUCUCCACAUACGGUUUGUUUACAUAGCAGGUUAGGGUAGUUAACAUGGCAGGUUAGGAGAACUAAUACAGCAAGUUAGGUGUAUUAACAAUGGAGGUUAAGAUAAUUAGUUUUAGGUUAGGAAAAUAGUUAUGGGUUAGGCUUA